GAUGAACGCUGGCGGCGUGCCUAAUACAUGCAAGUCGAGCGGACGGACGAUAAGCUUGCGUCUCGGAUGUUAGCCGAGCACGGGUGAGUAACACGUGGAUAACCUACCUAUAAGUCGGGUAACACCUCGAGAAUCCGGCGAUUAUACGAUAGAAUAUUUUGAACCGCAUGGGUGAAUAGUAAAAGACGGCCUUGCGGUCACGUAUAGAUGCUUCCGCGCUGCAGUAGCUAGUAGGUGAGGUAAAGGCUUAUGAAGGGAACGAUGCGUAGCCGACCUGAGAGGAUGAUCGGCCACACGGGAACUGAGACGCGGUCCAGACGACUACGGGAGGCAGCAGUAGGGAAUCGUACGCAGUGGGCGAAAGCAUGGCGGAGCAACGCCGCGUGAGUGGUAAAGAUCUUGGGAUCGUAAAACUCUGUUAUUGGUGAAGAACAGAUGUGUAAGGAACUGUGCACAGCGUGACGGUACCUAAUCAGAAAGCCACGGCUAACUACGUG
rnacentral:rRNA from 1 species